rnacentral:rRNA from 1 species
UACGUAGGGCGCAAGCGUUAUCCGGAAUUAUUGGGCGUAAAGAGCUCGUAGGCGGUUUGUCGCGUCUGCCGUGAAAGUCCGGGGCUCAACUCCGGAUCUGCGGUGGGUACGGGCAGACUAGAGUGAUGUAGGGGAGACUGGAAUUCCUGGUGUAGCGGUGAAAUGCGCAGAUAUCAGGAGGAACACCGAUGGGCGAAGGCAGGUCUCUGGGCAUUAACUGACGCGAGGAGCGAAAGCAUGGGGAGCGAACAGG